AGAGGAAGGAGAAGUCGUAACAAGGUUUCCGUAGGUGAACCUGCGGAAGGAUCAUUGUCGAAACCUGCCCAGCAGAACGACCUGUGAACUCUUUAAAACACCGGAGGGUGCGUGCCUUGCGUGCGCUCCCCUCUCUUCUGCAUCAGGUGCGGUCUUCUGCUCGUGCUUGUUACAGAACAACCAACCCCGGGCGCAGUAUGCGCCAAGGAAAACUAACAAGAGAGCACGAUCUCAGGCCCCAUACAUGGUGUGCUUGGGACGCAGUGCAUUCUUUCACAUUAUCUAUAACGACUCUCGGCAACGGAUAUCUAGGCUCUCGCAUCGAUGAAGAACRCAGC
rnacentral:misc_RNA from 1 species